rnacentral:rRNA from 1 species
GUCUACAGCCAUGCCACCCUGAACACACCCAAUCCUGUCUGAUCUCAGAAGCUAAGCAGGGUUGGGCCUGGUUAGUACUUGGAUGGGAGACCACCUAGGAAGACCAGGUACUGUAGGCA